rnacentral:rRNA from 1 species
UACGUAGGAGGCGAGCGUUGUCCGGAAUUACUGGGUGUAAAGCGCGUGUAGGCGGCCUGCCAAGUCUGCUGUGAAAGCGCCUGGCUUAACCGGGCGAGGUCGGUGGAAACUGGCGGGCUGGAGGCCGGUAGAGGGGGGUGGAAUUCCCGGUGUAGUGGUGAAAUGCGUAGAGAUCGGGAGGAACACCAGUGGCGAAGGCGGCCCCCUGGGCCGGGCCUGACGCUGAGACGCGAAAGCGCGGGGAGCGAACGGG